CGCCUCCGGGGCCGCCCGGGGGUGGAGCAGGGCGGGGAGUUCGGGAAACUUGUAAAUAGCCGAACUCGGGCCUCCCGCCCCAACCCGGGGCGGCUCCUUCCGAAGGCUCCCCUCCAGCAACUCGCUGCGGGAGACCAAGGCCAGCCGCCGUCCCAGGGGACGGCCCUCGGGGAACCUCAAUGACGUGCGAGGCCGUACCUCGGGGCGUUGGACUCCGCUUGGCCGCUCCCGCCCUCCGCUCGCGCUCUCGGGUCCCAAUCCCGACGCUCCGCGCGCUCCCGGGGCAUCUAGAACACUGAGAAAUCCAGGAUGGACACUUAACACUACCAAAGAUUGAUCUAUUUUGGGUAAGUAUACUUCUGAUCUCUUUUUGAGGACUGUAUUAGUCCGUUUUCACACUGCUAUAAAGAACUGCCUGAGGCUGGGUAAUUUAUAAAGGAAAGAGUUUUCAUUGACUCAGAGUUCUGCAUGGCUGGGGAGGCCUCAGGAAACUUAACAGUUAUGGCAGAAGGCAAAGGAGAAGCAGGUACCUUCUUUACAAGGCGGCAGAAGAGACAGAGAGGGCAGGGGAAACUGCCAUUUUUAAGCUAUCAGAUCUUGUCAGAACUCCGUCACUAUCACGAGAACAGCAUGAGGGAAACUGCCCCCAUGACCCAAUCACCUCCCACCAUCCCCCGCUCAACACGUGGGGAUGACAAUUCAAGAUGGAAUUGUGUGGGGACACAGAGCCAAACCAUAUCAAGUACCUACAAAAUUAUGGUGACUCUUCACUAAUUUGCCAACUGAUUAUCUGCAAAUCUUAAAUAGAGAAUAAAACACAAAAAUAUCAUUAUCCCUCCAGAACUGAGGACGCAAAUUGGAUUUAGAAGACUUAGCUUUGACACCUAGAUAUGUUUUCAUUGAUUUGACCUAACUUGAUCUCAGUUUCUCUUUUAUAGAAUUAGUUCUUUAGAUCAGAGGUCCCCAACCCCGGGACUGCGGACUGCCACUGGUCUUUGGCCUGUCAGGCACCCGGCCACACAGCUGGAGUGUGAAAAAAAAGGAAAAAACUGAAAAUCUCAAGAGGAUUCCAGGAAAUCAAAACAAUGAAUUAUUGAAUAAAGAGUUUGAAAGAGAAAAUAGAUGCAUACUGAAAAAAGAAUUUUGUUUAGUGAGAUAGAUGUAAUAAUGAAGGCAUGUUGAUAACGGGGGAGCUAUGUAUAUAUGAGGGGAGAGAUAUGUUGGAAAUCUCUGUAUCUUCCUCUCAAUCUUGCUGUGAUCCUAAAACUGCUCUAAAAAAUAUUUUGAGAAGGAAUAAUGAUGUAGUAAACAUGUUCUGUUAUUUAAAAAGAGAGACUUUUCAUAGCCGCCUCCCUCCCCCUCUACACACACACAGAGUCCUGUCCGUCUUCAUUCCCUUACUCAAUAAUUUGUACAGACACAACCACUGGGCUCCAGUAAUCCUAAAGUUUCUAGAAAAUCAAGCACAGAAAAAGGUUAAAACCCUGAAGGAAUAAAAGAAUUCCUUUGCAUCCAUUGCAUUUCUCAGGAAGUGAACUAACAAAUUCACUGCUUUUAAAUGAGGAAAUUUUCUCAAUGAAAUUGAUUCCAAACCUUCGUUAGGUCAACUGUUCCCAGACUUCUUAGCUGGUGCCUGAUCUGACUAUGCCUUAUCUUUAGUACAGAAACCAAGGUGAAUGACCUUUAAAAAACAUAUUAGACUGUUGACGUGUCUUCUAUGUUGUACUCUAGGUAAAAACGAUAAACCAGGAAAAAGAAAGUAAAAUUCAACCUUAGGUUCAUGGAUCCAGAGUGGAUAAUUAUGAGUCUGUAGUAUCUACAUGCAUGUGAUGAGGUUCAAGGACAAUAACCAUAAAGCAAAGACUUAAAAAGUUUUAUCAUUAGAAUAAUUGUAAUUCACUUGAUCUCUCAAUGUAACAAAAUACUUCGGUCUACUGUCUCAAGCCAUUAUUAUGUCUUACGCUCAGCAUAUUGGUUUGUCUACCAUUAAAUAUUUAUUUUCUACAGUGCUUUCUGGAAGGCAAACAAAGCAGCCACUCUGCUACUUUAUAUUGAUUCCUGAGUUGUCCUUAGGAAACGCUUUCAGGAAGUUUAAUAGGUUUGAAAGAUAUUUAGACCUGUGACUGGCAAAUAUACUUCCUUCUUUUUAUUUCAAUAAGAGAGUACUAGAACUUAGAUCUUUAUUGUUUAAUCUAGUCAGUGCUGUCACUGUCAAUCAAGUUCUCAAAUGACACUUGUUCUGAGCUGUAACUGAUCUAUUCAGAAGAAUAUGAAAAUAGUAAAGACGGCAACUAUGCAUGUUUUUACCGGACACGAUUUUAAUUGCUUUAAAAUGAAGUUAUGCAACCAACGAGGAGUGGAGCUUUUGGAGUGGCCUGAAGCUAAAGGUUUCAGGUGUAUUUUUGCUUUCUUUGAAGAAAGAACUAAAUCAUUUUAUUUAAUAAAAAGGCCGUUUAUCAAGAAUUACUUAAAGCUGUUUUAAACUCGAGUUUACAAUUUAUAGAAUAUGUUCAAGCAGCCUCAGUGCCCUUUUAAUUGGAUGGUUUUCACAGAUUUAUCCAAUUUGAGAUUUAUCCAGUGAGAAUUCCCUUUGUUCAAGUAUGUAUGUCUUCUCUUCCAUAAAGCAGAUUCAAAUGAAAGAGUGCAAUCUGAUAUAUCAGACAUGUCAGUUAUACAUUUGAUGUGGUAAAUUUAUAAGAGAGGCCAAUUAUUGUUAUGAAAAAAUACAAUGAAAUACAUGAUAGUCAUUUACUGUUUUUAUAACUAAUCUAAAAGUAUUUACUAAAAAGAAACUAUUUCUUUUCAUAUGUACUUUACUUUUUACUUUAACCCUUCAUAUGUCCUUUAAAUAAAGAGAAGAAAAAAAGUCAUUUAUAUUUAUCCACAUAUUUUCUAUUUCAGGUGUCCUGAUUCAUUCUUGUAGAUCCAAGUUACCAUCUGUUAUUAUUUUCUUUGUCACCUGAAGAAUUUUCAGACCUAUUUCUUCCUAUAUGUAGCAUGUAUAGAUACUCUAAAAAGUCCAUUAUAUGAUGUAUAAAACAAAGCAUACAAUGUAGUCUCUGCCCUAAUUAUUUGUAAUUUAUAUAAAACCUUUUGUUAUUUUUUAUUUUUAAUUUUUUAUUUUAUUUUAUUUUGUUUUAUGUUUUUGAGAUAGAGUCUUGCUCUGUUGCCCAGACUGGAGUGCAAUAGCGUGGUCUUGGCUCACUGCAACCUCUGCCUCCCAGGCUCAAGUGAUUCUCCUGCCUCAGCUUCUCCAAUAGCUGGGAUUACAGGCAGCACCACCAUGCCUGGCUAAUUUUUGUAUUCUUAGUAGAAACGGGGUUCACCUUGUUGGCGAGGCUGGUCUUGAACUCCUGACCUCAGGUAAUCUGUCCGCCUUGGCCUCCCAAACUGUUGGGAUUACAGAUGUGAGCCACUGCACCCAGCCUAAUUGGUUAUUUUAUUAUUUAGACUCCACAUAUCAAUUUUCUUACUAUGGCGAUAUGAAAUAGCAAUUAACCUUGAAAUAUCAUUUAUUUUUCCCUAUUACUACAUUUCCCUUAAGAACUACAAUAAAUUAUUUUACUUAAAAACAUUGUCCUUAACGUACCAUGAGCUAAUCAUUCAAGAAUUGUGACUAAAUUAUCUAAAUUAUUUCAGUGUAAUCACCUGAGGUUCUAGGUAAGCCCUCCUUCUCAUUCUCUGCUUCACACAUGCCAACGAUUAAAAGAUCAGAUUAUCAGCCAGGCGCGGUGGCUCAUGCCUGUAAUCCCAGCACUUUGGGAGGCCGAGGUGGGUGGAUCAGGAGGUCAGGAGUUCCAGACCAGCCUGGCCAACACAGUGAAACCCCCGUCUCUACUGAAAAUACAAAAAAAAUUAGCUGAGUGUGGUGGCAGUCACCUGUACUCCCAGCUACUCAGGAGGCUGAGGCAGAAGAAUCACUUGAACUUGCAGUGAGCUGAGAAUACGCCAUUGCACUCCAGUCCGAGCAACAGUGCGAGACUCUGUCUCAAAAAAAAAAAAAAAAAGAUCACAUUAUCUUUAAGUAAAAAAAAGUAGUCAACUGGAGUUCCACUUUUGGUAAUGGUAGGGUAGCUGGCAUCAAACUAGAUCUCCUGCAGAUCAAAAUUAUAUACUGUGAAAAAAAUGUAAAUAAUGUCUAUCUGAAGGCACUGGAGGGUGUCUAGAAGCAGGCAGAAAUAAGAACGGAAUCCUUUAAAGAAGGGAACUAUAUAUGGUUUUUCAGUUGAGGAUACUCCCCAGACCUUGUGGUAGAAAGAAGCUAGAACUGAAGCUAAAACCACAAUUUUAAUUGCUUGAAGAGUUAAAGGACAGAAUUUGGGACUGCCAGUAUAGCUGGAUUAUGAGGAGAGAAAUUUCAGAAAGAUGGUAGCCACAGAUAUGGGAGCCUCUAAAUCCAUGUGUAAACUCUCUACACACAUUCCUGCAGAUCUCUGAACUGUGUGUUGUGUAGGAGACUCCAAGGAACCCAACCAGGAGGCUGAAAAACUGAGUAGAGAUUUCAGCUAAUGCCUUAACAAGGGAGAAAAAAUUUGGGGUUUGAGUCCAGCUAGGUAACUGCCUGCUAAAACAAAACUCAACACUCAGCCAAAAAAUAAGAAAAUCAAGAGUAUGUAAAAUGUAUCAUCAAAUGCACCAGAUGCAAUCAAAACUUACUAGACAUGCAUGCAAAGAAACAGCAUAUCUCUUGACCCAGAGUCAAGAAAAAUUCAAUCAAUAGAAAUCUAUCCCAAUAUGUCUCAGAUGUUGGAAUUAACAGAAAAGAUCUUUUUAAAACUGUUUUAAAUAUAUUUAAGAUCUUAAAAGAUAAUAUCAGUGGAAAAA